UUUUCUUUUUAACAUCAUCCCUUACCGAACUAACUUAUAAUACGAUAUUUGCUAUUAAGCUGCAGCUUAUAACAAUGAAAACUGGAUCUGUAGCAACAAUUGUAAAUCGUUUAUAACACAAACGAAAUCACGAGGAUUGAUAAAAUACUUAGUUUGGAUUACAAAACCAUCAACAUAAAAGCAUUAUAUGAUAACUAAAAGUACUUGCAACCAAAAUAAAAACAAUCCAACAACAUUGAAUGAAGAUGCAAUUUGAACAGAUGCAAAAUGCCAACAGGACCAAAAUUGCACAAAUGCAAAUUACACGCAACCAAUCUCAAUUUUGUUUGACGGACUCAACCUUCACACGAACAAUUUUGAUCGUAAUUGGAUCCAAUGGAGCUGUAAAAACAUGAAGAAAAAAAAAGUUAUUUUAAAGUCCGAAUGAACACGCAAAAUAAGCAUCGAACAUAAAUAGAUUACUAACCUUUCAAGGAAUGCAACACCAACAUGAUUUCAACAUCAUGUUCAUCCAUUAGAGGUUUGAUGAUACAUUGAUAGAAUUCGUUAUACCUGUAUAUAAGCUGUAAACAAAGGAGGGUGUCAACGCGCGUGUAUAU
rnacentral:lncRNA from 1 species